rnacentral:rRNA from 1 species
UACGAAGGGGGCUAGCGUUGCUCGGAAUCACUGGGCGUAAAGGGUGCGUAGGCGGUUCUUUAAGUCAGGGGUGAAAUCCCAAGGCUCAACCUUGGAACUGCCUUUGAUACUGGGGAUCUCGAGUCCGGAAGAGGUUGGUGGAACUGCGAGUGUAGAGGUGAAAUUCGUAGAUAUUGGGAGGAACACCGGUGGCGAAGGCGACCACCUGGAUGAAGACUGACGCUGAGGCGCGAAAGCGUGGGUAGCAAACAGG